rnacentral:rRNA from 1 species
UGAACGCUAGCUACAGGCUUAACACAUGCAAGUCGAGGGGCAUCAGGAAGAAAGCUUGCUUUCUUUGCUGGCGACCGGCGCACGGGUGAGUAACACGUAUCCAACCUGCCCUUUACUCGGGGAUAGCCUUUCGAAGGAAAGAUUAAUACCCGAUGGCAUAAUGAUUCCGCAUGGUUUCAUUAUUAAAGGAUUCCGGUAAAGGAUGGGGAUGCGUUCCAUUAGGUUGUUGGUGAGGUAACGGCUCACCAAGCCUUCGAUGGAUAGGGGUUCUGAGAGGAAGGUCCCCCACAUUGGAACUGAGACACGGUCCAAACUCCUACGGGAGGCAGCAGUGAGGAAUAUUGGUCAAUGGGCGCUAGCCUGAACCAGCCAAGUAGCGUGAAGGAUGAAGGCUCUAUGGGUCGUAAACUUCUUUUAUAUAAGAAUAAAGUGCAGUAUGUAUACUGUUUUGUAUGUAUUAUAUGAAUAAGGAUCGGCUAACUCCGUGCCAGCAGCCGCGGUAAUACGGAGGAUCCGAGCGUUAUCCGGAUUUAUUGGGUUUAAAGGGAGCGUAGGUGGACUGGUAAGUCAGUUGUGAAAGUUUGCGGCUCAACCGUAAAAUUGCAGUUGAUACUGUCAGUCUUGAGUACAGUAGAGGUGGGCGGAAUUCGUGGUGUAGCGGUGAAAUGCUUAGAUAUCACGAAGAACUCCGAUUGCGAAGGCAGCUCACUGGACUGCAACUGACACUGAUGCUCGAAAGUGUGGGUAUCAAACAGGAUUAGAUACCCUGGUAGUCCACACAGUAAACGAUGAAUACUCGCUGUUUGCGAUAUACAGUAAGCGGCCAAGCGAAAGCAUUAAGUAUUCCACCUGGGGAGUACGCCGGCAACGGUGAAACUCAAAGGAAUUGACGGGGGCCCGCACAAGCGGAGGAACAUGUGGUUUAAUUCGAUGAUACGCGAGGAACUUUACCCGGGCUUAAAUUGCAGUGGAAUGAUGUGGAAACAUGUCAGUGAGCAAUCACCGCUGUGAAGGUGCUGCAUGGUUGUCGUCAGCUCGUGCCGUGAGGUGUCGGCUUAAGUGCCAUAACGAGCGCAACCCUUAUCUUUAGUUACUAACAGGUUAUGCUGAGGACUCUAGAGAGACUGCCGUCGUAAGAUGUGAGGAAGGUGGGGAUGACGUCAAAUCAGCACGGCCCUUACGUCCGGGGCUACACACGUGUUACAAUGGGGGGUACAGAAGGCAGCUAGCGGGUGACCGUAUGCUAAUCCCAAAAGCCUCUCUCAGUUCGGAUCGAAGUCUGCAACCCGACUUCGUGAAGCUGGAUUCGUUAGUAAUCGCGCAUCAGCCACGGCGCGGUGAAUACGUUCCCGGGCCUUGUACACACCGCCCGUCAAGCCAUGGGAGCCGGGGGUACCUGAAGUACGUAACCGCAAGGAUCGUCCUAGGGUAAAACUGGUGACUGGGGCUAAG